AGUGGAUGGGGAGCAACCUAGUUGUGCGUGUGUAAAGGUAGUGCCAAGAAAAGCGAUGAUCAUGUUGAAAAUCAAUUCCCGGUACCCGAAACCGACACAGGUGGGCAAGUAGAGAAUACUAAGGGGCGCGAGGUAACUCUCUCCAAGGAACUCGGCAAAAUGACCCCGUAACUUAGGGAGAAGGGGUGCCACCGAGAGGUGGUCGCAGUGAAGAGGCCCAGGCGACUGUUUAGCAAAAACAUAGGUCUCUGCAAACUCGAAAGAGGAGGUAUAGGGGCUGACGCCUGCCCAGUGCCGGAAGGUUAAAGAAGUUGGUCAGUUUUAGGAUGAAGCUAGCGACUGAAGCCCCGGUGAACGGCGGCCGUAACUAUAACGGUCCUAAGGUAGCGAAAUUCCUUGUCGGGUAAGUUCCGACCCGCACGAAAGGCGUAACGAUCUGGGCGCUGUCUCGGAGAGAGGCUCGGCGAAAUAGGAUUGUCUGUGAAGACACGGACUACCUGCAUUUGGACAGAAAGACCCUAUGAAGCUUUACUAUAGCUUGGAAUUGUGUUCGGGCUUCCUGUGCGCAGGAUAGGUGGGAGGCGUAGAAGGUAUUCUUGUGGGGGAUACUGGAGCCAACGGUGAGAUACCACUCUCAGGAGGCUAGAAUUCUAACUUAAUUAAGGACAGUUUCAGGUGGGUAGUUUGACUGGGGCGGUCGCCUCCAAAAAGGUAACGGAGGCGUACAAAGGUUCCCUCAGACUGGUUGGAAAUCAGUCGAAGAGUGCAAAGGCAGAAGGGAGCUUGACUGCGAGAAGUACAGUUCGAGCAGGGUGGAAACACGGUCUUAGUGAUCCGACGGUGCUGUGUGGAAGGGCCGUCGCUCAACGGAUAAAAGUUACUCUAGGAUAACAGGCUGAUCUCCCCCAAGAGUUCACAUCGACGGGGAGGUUUGGCACCUCGAUGUCGGCUCAUCGCAACCUGGGGCGGAAGUACGUCCCAAGGGUUGGGCUGUUCGCCCAUUAAAGCGGUACGUGAGCUGGGUUCAGAACGUCGUGAGACAGUUCGGUCCAUAUCCGAUGUAGGCGUGAGAAUAUUGAGAGGAGCCUUCCUUAGUACGAGAGGACCGGGAAGGACGCACCGCUGGUGUACCUGUUAUGAUGCCAAUUGUAAACGCAGGGUAGCCAAGUGCGGAGAGGAUAACCGCUGAAAGCAUCUAAGUGGGAAGCCCACCUCAAGAUGAGUAUUCUGGUGUAAGGUCACGGGAAGACGACCCGUAAAUAGGCACGAGGUGGAAGUGCAGAGAUGUAUGAAGCCGAAGUGUACUAAUAGACCGUCGGCUUGACC
rnacentral:rRNA from 1 species